CUUUAUCAAUCAAGUCAAACACAGCUGUUCUUAAAUGGUCAGUGGGAGUCUCUCCUGGAAAUCUGUCAUCAUCUAUUUCCGAAAACUCAGAAGGUGGUAUAACAUUCUGAAGUGCCUUGGGUUUCCUUGAUGGAGCCAUGAUGAACCAUGUUGCCAUCACAGUGGCCAAAAACCUGUUUAUCAUCUCAGCGAAUAGGAACAAGCUGAACAGACUUCUUGCUUUCAGUAUGGGUGCCCUGGUGAUGAACAGAGUUAAGAAACACAAUCUAGAACUAAGAAUGAAGGGACCUAGAUCAGUGGCAGUCCAAGAUAAAAGGGCAUACUGAAGAAAAGAAGAGCCUUCAUCCAGCAGCUGAUAGAAGUAGAA
rnacentral:lncRNA from 1 species